UACGUAGGCAGCAAGCGUUGUUCGGAGUUACUGGGCGUAAAGGGUGUGUAGGCGGUUGUUUAAGUUUGGUGUGAAAUCUCCCGGCUCAACCGGGAGGGUGCGCCGAAUACUGAAUGACUUGGAGUGCGGGAGAGGAAAGUGGAAUUCCUGGUGUAGCGGUGAAAUGCGUAGAUAUCAGGAGGAACACCGGUGGGGUAGACGGCUUUCUGGACCGUAACUGACGCUGAGACACGAAAGCGUGGGUAGCAAACAGG
rnacentral:rRNA from 1 species